UUAGAGUGGCUGUAUCAUAGUGAUCAUUAUAUUUUUUCAAGAACUCUUUACCAAAUACAGAUACGGGUAGGUUCUUAGCAUAUAGAGUGUAUACUUAAAUCAGAAGAGUAUGCAAGAACAAUUAAAAUAACUUCAGAGACUUAUUUGAUUUUGGUAACUUUAGAUAAAUUAGUAAAAUGUACUGUAUCUUUUUUUAGGAAAGCAGAUCAAUAGUAAAUUGUAUACCUGUAUGAACCAGCAGAGAUCCAAAUUUGCCCAUUUUUAUGAGAAUGGCUUGAACUUGUCAUGAAACAGAAAAGGAGUACUUGUAUGUCAUUUUGUAACUAGAACUGCAGAAUUUCAACUCACCAUCUGACCAUACUAUAUUGCAGCCCAUUGGAGCAUUAAAUGAUGAUCGGCUGAAAAAGUUUGCAUGAAAAAUACUCGAGUGUUAACUAUCCUGUCAUACCCUGGCUUGGGAUUUCCCAUCAUUUGUUGAUGAUUCUAUGUAGUAGUGGUUCUUUCUUUUGCAGUCUCUUUAACUUGGCUGGAUACAUUCUUGCUUUCCAUCAUGUUAAAGGUUCCUGAAUUGUUUAUCUUUCAGAGAUCUUGACAAUGAGAACUCAAUUGAUGUUGGUACAAACAUGGAGAUAAAUUAGAUUCUGUUCGGCUUCCUCCUUGGGUUGAAAACCCUGUUGGUUUCAUCAUUAAACAUCAAAUGGCUCUCGAGACUCGAGAGUGAACACGUGUCUGCACAAACAUGACUGGAUUGAUCUUGGAUAUGGGUACAAGCAACAAGGGAAAGAAGCUACGAGUAUUUAAGCAAAAAAUUUCUUUUACUUCAGAAUUCAGGAUCCAUGAAUUAAAGUGCAAAUAUCGCCCUUAAAAACAAUCAUAGCUAGCAAGACUACAAAAUUGAACAUUACAAGUCUUUAAACGGAAACUGUGUAUCCGGAUGAAGCUAUAGAGGCAUAGAUCUCGAAAUUAAUAUUACAAAUGUACAUCUUGAUGAACCUUUGAUAAGACUAAUCACGAAAGUCGAACAAGCUUGUUCCUAAACAAAAUCUGGAGAAGGCUUUAGUGAAAGUAAACCAGGAGUCACACUGCAGUCAGUCAGAUACUAAUCCCAUGGGGCAAAGAUUGGUGGAUGUUUCAUGUUGAUUGACAUUGAUAUUUCCAAGCCAAGAGGUUUUCCUCUGUAUAAUUGUCAUUUAACUAGAUACUUUUAUAUAUCCAACUGGUUUAGACAAAUGUAAAGUAGUAAUGAAAUUUAGUUUUAUCCAACAUGUCAAUUUGGUUGAUCCUUAAGUGGUUGAACAUGUGAGAAAUAACACACACACUUGA